rnacentral:lncRNA from 1 species
CGGCGCCGCCGCUCGUCCUGCUGCUUCCGCCGCAUCCACAUCCUUCGCCGCCGUCGCCGCCGCCUGCGCCGAUCCCCCCAUCCAUCCCGCGAGCGAGCAUCCUGCUGCUUCCGCCGCAUCCUGUUUGGGGGUGUUGAACUGAACCCCCCAUGCCCCAUGUUAGAUCCGCCCAUGAAUGGAUCAUGAUUCACUCCAAAACACUAUGGAGCAUCCUGUUCCUGGAGAGGAGCAUGAGGAGGAUAACAGCAUGAAAGUGGAUGUGGCAUUUGAUGGAGUGCACAGCCCGUUCCGGUACAGGCACAAGAAAAGGUCCAAGGUUUGGGAGGAGUACAAGCCCAUCUUUCUGAAUGGGAAGGUUCAGUUUGCGGAGUGUCUCUACUGCCAUAAUCGCCUCAGCUGCAAAGAUUCCAACGGCACAAGCCAUCUAUGGCGGCAUCAGAAAAUCUGCCCUGGCAAGGAGGAAGCGGCGCAGAGGCGACAGAAGGAUUCCUACUUCCCAUGCGUUUUGGUGAAUGAGAACGAUCCAGUUUCACCCCACGAUCCGGUCAAUGAUGUUAUUACAGAGACGCUUAGUGAUAUAAACUCGGUAACACCCAGCGGUAACAGAUUCACGUCAAAGGUGUGGAAGGAGUUUACACCUGUCUAUAUUGAGGGGAAACUCCAGGCUGCAGAUUGCAUUCACUGCCAGAAGCGCCUCAGUGCGAAUAAGUUCGGGGGGAGAAGCCAUCUGAGUCGACAUCUUAUAACCUGUGCAGGACGACGUGGACGUGGAGGGGGCCAAAUUCAUCAGAAGGGUUUAUUUUAUCCUUCUAGCGUGCCUAGUUUGAAGUCCAGGGUGCAAGAUGAGCUCUCACCUGCCUUGACAAAUGGGAAGGUUCAGAUCGCAGAAUACUCUAGCAAGCUUCUGAGGGCAAGUAGCUCUGGUGACUCGACCCCUAAGCCCAUUCGAGUGGUACCAGCAGAGCAUUCCGUGCCGACUCCAGAUUAUACAAGCCUGAUGAAACAGAGGACCUCAUUUGUGACCACUCCAGCUGGUCAGGAAACAUCUGAUCCAGACCUAGUCGGGAUGAUAGCUUUGCAUGGUUAUCCUUUGUCAAUUGUGGAGCACGAAGAAAUGAUGAGAUUUGUAAAGAAACUCAACCCUGUGAAGCUUUUAAGCUUGACUUCUGUUGGUGAAGUUAGGGGUGACACCAAUACUUCAUUGCUAAAGGAAAUGCUUAUAGAGAAGAAGUGCCUUCCUAUUGGAGGGACGCUAUUCAAUGUUGCCUGUGUGGACUAUGUCCUUAACAGUAUUGUUUUCAAAGUGCAAGCAGAUAUACUUCGUCUUGUUGGUGACAUAGUAAUGGAUUUUUUAGUGUCAUUGACCCAGCAGCAGCUUCUGGAAGUUAUUUCACAGACGGGUCUAAAGUGUCCACAAGAAGAUGCUAAGUGGUGGCACAAACUUUAUUUUAGACUUGAAGUACUUUUGCAUUUCAAGAAGUCAUUUCCUUCUGAAGAAAGGGUGUCCCCAGAAGAUACAAAAACUGCUGAGUCCGUUUGCAAGAUUUUGAGGACAAUUUAUCGUGUCAUUGAAGUUAUUUCCAGCCCUAGCUCUCCGACAGCAAAUAUAUAUUUUAACGAGAUAUGGAAAGUCAGGACAGUUUUGCAAGAAGAAGCAUUAAAUGAUCACAGAGAAAUAGCUACAGUGGCUAUGGUGAUGCAGGAAGCAUUCAAUGAGUAUUGGCAAAAUUCAUAUUUGUGGUUGGCCAUACCUGUUGUGCUAGACCCUAGAUUCAAAUUCAGUUUCAUUGAGUUUCGUCUGAAACGAGCUUUUGGAACAGAUUCGGCAAGCUACCUAUCUGUAAUACGUGAAACAGUCCGGGAACUCUUCAAUGAAUACUGCCAUUCUUUGAAUCAGGCAAGUGAUGUUGUUUCAAACAGUGAAGCUUUGUGUGCAGAUGAUAAUGAUUCGUUGGAAGAUUGGGAUCAGCAUCUCCAUGAACAAGCAAGUCGUCAGCUAUCUUCGGAGCUUGAUGAUUACCUUGAAGAUGGUUUAGUUCCUAGAAAGGAUGAUUUUGAUAUUUUAAACUGGUGGAUGACUCAUAGUACUAAGUACCCAACACUUGCAACUAUUGCACGGGACAUCUUAGCCAUGCCAGCAUCUGCUGUUCAAUCUGAAGCAGCAUUCAGUAGCAGUGGACCAGUAAUUCCAAAGCACCAGAGUACAUUAAACAUCAGAACAAUAGAGGCACUUGUUUGUACUCGAGAUUGGAUGAGAUAAAACUGGUAAG